rnacentral:misc_RNA from 1 species
AAGCACGAUCAAGUCAACAGACCACCAAGAAAUUAAGAACAGCACACAAUUGCAGAAGCUCCCAUUUGACUAUUUUUUUUUUAAUAAGCAAAAAAAUUUUAUUAAAUGAAAUAAGGAAAACUUAGCAUCAUAUUAAGAGGCAAAAAUGAAUCACAAAAAAUAAGAUCAAGAACAUUCUGCAGUUACUAAAGGAAAAUAAAAAGACUUAAAAUCACAUAAAAACACACAAAAAAAAAAACUCAAGGGCCCACAGAAAUGAACUAUAGCAUGCAGACACCAAGAUAUCUCCCAUUUGACCCGUUUAAUUCCAGCAUGUUGACCAGUGAGCAUUUGUAAGCACAAAAUGGAGAAAUUAUAAUAUGCCCACACAUAUAUUUCCUCCCAAGUCUACAUGGCGGUCGGAGCUUUCGGUCAAACACAUGGAGUGCUUGGAUAUUUUGCUGAUUAAAAGUAACAAAUGAACGAAUACAUGACCUACACAUCGUGCGAAUACAUACACGUACAAGGCAAAUGGCAUCUAUAAGCUACACUUCUAAGCACGCUUAUUAGUCUGAAGAACACCGUACCUCCACAUAGUUAUCAAAAAUAAAUAUUAUCCCACGAACAGUACACAAUACAUCUUAGGACGUUUAUCAAGCGAAAACUGGAGUAACAUUACAUUCCCUAGUCAGUCAAGAAAGUGAGUUUCAUCAUAAGCCUUUUUUUGAGAGAAGUUUUAUAAAGUGAUUAAAGGUUUCUUAAGAUUUUAAAAUUUUAAAUAUGUUUUGAGAAAGAUAAUAAUUUUUUAAAAUAAAAAUUUUGAAAUAUUUAAAAAUUUAUAUUUUUCAACUCAUCAAGUUAAUAAGUUAA